rnacentral:pre_miRNA from 1 species
UUAACUCAAAUCUGUAUGGAGUUGGCUUCCCUUCAUUUGCCACUAGAGGCGCUGUUCCAACUCCAUACAAAUUUGAGUUA